UGGGCAAUCUGCCCUUCUCUUCGGAAUAAGCGUUGGAAACGACGUCUAAUGCCGAAUACGACCUCCUUUCGCAUGAUCGGAGGUGGAAAAGCUCCGGCGGAGAAGGAUGAGCUCGCGGCCUAUCAGCUAGUUGGUGAGGUAACGGCUCACCAAGGCAACGAUGCGUAGCCGACCUGAGAGGGUGAUCGGCCACNUUGGAACUGAGACACGGUCAGACCUCCGUAGGAG
rnacentral:rRNA from 1 species